rnacentral:rRNA from 1 species
UACGUAGGGUGCGAGCGUUGUCCGGAAUUAUUGGGCGUAAAGAGCGUGUAGGCGGCCAGGUAGGUCGGCUGUGAAAACUCGAGGCUCAACCUCGAGAUGUCGGCCGAAACCAUCUGGCUAGAGUCCGGAAGAGGAGAGUGGAAUUCCCGGUGUAGCGGUGAAAUGCGCAGAUAUCGGGAAGAACACCCGUGGCGAAGGCGGCUCUCUGGGACGGUACUGACGCUGAGACGCGAAAGCGUGGGGAGCGAACAGG